GACGAACGCUGGCGGCGCGCUUAACACAUGCAAGUCGAGCGAUGAAACUUUAACAGAACCCUUCGGGGCGAAGAUAAAGUGGAUUAGCGGCGGACGGGUGAGUAACACGUGAGUAACCUGCCUUAGACAUUGGGAUAGCCUCGGGAAACCGGGAUUAAUACCAAAUAAAAUCAUAAUGACACAUGUCAUAACGAUCAAAACUCCGGUGGUCUAAGAUGGACUCGCGUCCCAUUAGCUAGUUGGUAGAGUAAAAGCCUACCAAGGCGACGAUGGGUAGCCGGCCUGAGAGGGUGAACGGCCACAUUGGAACUGAGAAACGGUCCAAACUCCUACGGGAGGCAGCAGUGGGGAAUAUUGCACAAUGGAGGGAACUCUGAUGCAGCGACGCCGCGUGAACGAAGAAGGCUUUCGAGUCGUAAAGUUCUUUUAUAUGGGAAGAUAAUGAUGGUACCAUAAGAAAAAGCCCCGGCUAACUACGUG
rnacentral:rRNA from 1 species